UUGAACGCUGGCGGCAUGCCUUACACAUGCAAGUCGAACGGUAACGCGGGGCAACCUGGCGACGAGUGGCGAACGGGUGAGUAAUACAUCGGAACGUGCCCAGUAGUGGGGGAUAGCCCGGCGAAAGCCGGAUUAAUACCGCAUACGACCUAAGGGUGAAAGCAGGGGACCGCAAGGCCUUGCGCUAUUGGAGCGGCCGAUGUCAGAUUAGCUAGUUGGUGGGGUAAAAGCCUACCAAGGCGACGAUCUGUAGCUGGUCUGAGAGGACGACCAGCCACACUGGGACUGAGACACGGCCCAGACUCCUACGGGAGGCAGCAGUGGGGAAUUUUGGACAAUGGGCGCAAGCCUGAUCCAGCCAUACCGCGUGAGUGAAGAAGGCCUUCGGGUUGUAAAGCUCUUUCAGCCGGAAAGAAAACGCAUCCCCUAAUACGGGGUGUGGAUGACGGUACCGGAAGAAGAAGCACCGGCUAACUACGU
rnacentral:rRNA from 1 species